GGAGUAGACUGGGGAGGGGCUAUGGGGUUGGGGAAGAAAUGGGGAUUGGGGUCGUCUUGGGGGAGGAGUAGGAGGAUGGGGAGAGUGGGGAGAGGAGACCAAACCAUGGAGAAGGGUUGGGGAAUGCUGGGGUAGGAAUGGGGAGGAUGGGGAAGAAGAUGGAGGUUGGGGAAGAAAGGGUGGGGAUUGGGGUCGCCGUGGGGGUGGGGUAGGAGGGUGAGAAGGAGUGUAAGUAGGGGAGGAGCCAUGGGGGUGAUGGGGAAGGUAAGGGGAGGGUGGGGAGGAAUGAGGGAGGUAAGGGGAGGGUGGGGAGGAAUGGAGAAGGCGUGGGGAGGAAGUUGGGGAGGAGUCGAUCAUGUCUAUCUCAUCCCACACAUCCUUCAGUUCAUUCCUCACCUCAUCCCACAACUGUUCCCCAACGCUUCUCCUCCCCACGGCCUCCCCUUCAGUUGGGGAGGAGAUGGGGAAGGGGGAGGAGGUGGGGAUGGAGGAGCUACCCAUCACCCUCUCCUCCCCUUUCUUCCCAUUCCUACAGCUCUCCCCAUCUCCCCUUCCCCUCACUUCCCCAACUGCAUAAGAUGGGGAUUGGUGGGGAAGGGAAGGGGGGAGGGACCGCGUCUGGGCAAGGAGGCGGUUGUGGUAUGGGGAAGAGGUGGGGAUUGAGGUAGGGGAGGAAGGGGAAUAUGAGGUAGUGUAGGGAAGGGGGGAGUUGGGGAGAGCAUAUGGAGGUGGGGAGGAAGGGGAGGAGGGGAUGGGGAAAGAAGAGGAGGAAGGGGGAGGGGUGGGGAGGGAGUAAUGGGAUGGGGAAGAAGUGGGGAAUGAAGAGGAGGAGGAAGAGAAUGAAGGUGAGGAAGGGGAGGAUGGGGAGGAAGGAUUAGGGAAUGAAGAGGAGGAGGAAGGGGACGAGGAGAGGGGGUAGGAGCCAUGGGGAGGGGUGGGGAGGGGAUAGUGGCUUGGGGAGGCAUUGGGGAGGGCCUCAGCGUAGGGUGCGGGGUUGGGGAAGGGGUCACAUGGGGAAGAGAGCCGUCUACGGUAGGUUCCCGGGGUCCCCAAGAGGUGGGAUGAGGUCAGGUCACUCCCCACGCCCUCCUUCCCCCCCACUAGGGAGACUCGAACCCUGCGCCGUCCUCCCCGCCUUCCCCACCACGGGCCAGCCAGCGACAGGGAUUUCACAGCGUCCAAAAGCGACAUCUUGCGCCGGGGCUCGCUAACUCUUGCAUUCUUAAGAGUUUCUCCUAAGAGUUACUCCUAAGUCUCUCGGUUCCUAAAAUCACUCUUAAGUUCACGGGGGUCUCAGGAAUUGCACUUAACUAUAGUUCGUUCACUUCAAAUUGGUCUCAAGUUUUGUUUCGUAAAAGUUCUCCCACUUAAGUUAGGUUCAAAGACUUUAUAUUCUUAAAGUUGUUCUUAAAUUCACUCUCAAGUUCUGUUUGGUCUUAUAAAUUACACAUAACGGAGUUUCUUUAGGAUUUCACAGCGUCCAGGAGCGACAUCUUGCGGUGGGAGUGUCUGGUAACUCUUGCAUUCUUGAGAGUUCCUCCUAAGAGUUCAUCCUAAGUUACUCCUAAGGUGGUUCUGUUCUUAGGAGUGUUCUUACGUAAAAGUCCUUAAGUUAAAAAGUCUCAGUUCUUAGGUUGACACACAAUUUCAUCUUCCUCUCUCCAUAGUAUUUUCUUCUUCCUGUUCCUCUUCGUUCAACUCAUUUAUGUUUCCUGUUCUUCUGUAACUUGUUCAUUCUUAAGAGUUAGUCCUAAGAGUUGGUUUUGUGAGUGAGGUCCUAAAAUUUGCUCAUAAGUUCUCUUUGUUCAACUCAUUUCUGUGUCCCUGUUCUUCUAUACCUCGUUCAUUCUUAAGAGUUGGUUCUGUGAGUGAGGUCCUAAAAGUUGCUCACAAGUCCUUUUUGUUCAACUCAUUUCUGUGUCCCUGUUCUUCUAUACCUCGUUCAUUCUUAAGAGUUGGUUCUGAGUGAGGUCCUAAAAUUUGCUCAUAAGUUCUCUUUGUUCAACUCAUUUCUGUGUCCCUGUUCUUCUAUACUUCGUUCAUUCUCAAGAGUUGGUUCUGUGAGUGAGGUCCUAAAAUUUGCUCAUAAGUUCUCUUUGUUCAACUCAUUUCUGUGUCCCUGUUCUUCUAUACUUCGUUCAUUCUUAAGAGUUGGUUCUGUGAGUGAGGUCCUAAAAUUUGCUCAUAAGUUCUCUUUGUUCAACUCAUUUC